rnacentral:rRNA from 1 species
GACGAACGCUGGCGGCGUGCCUAAUACAUGCAAGUCGAACGCAGUGGGGACGGGUGAGUAACACGUGGGUAACCUCCCAUCAGAGGGGAUAACACUUGGAAACAGGUGCUAAACCGAUACUGAUGGAUGGUCCCGCGGGGCAUUAGCUAGUGGGUGAGGUAACGGCGCACCAAGGCCACGAUGAAUAGCCGGCCUGAGAGGGUGAGCGUCCACACGGGAACUGAGACACGGCCCAGAUUCCUACGGGAGGCAGCAGUAGGGAAGUGUCGGCAAUGGACGAAAGUCUGACCGAGCAACGCCGCGUGAGUGAAGAAGGUUUUCGGAUCGUAAAACUCUGUUGUUAGAGAAGCGGUAUCUAACCAGAAAGCCACGGCUAACUACGUGCCAGCAGCCGCGGUAAUAC